AGUGAACGCUCGCGGUAGGCCUAACACAUGCAAGUCGAACGGCAGCACAGUAAGAGCUUGCUCUUACGGGUGGCGAGUGGCGGACGGGUGAGGAAUACAUCGGAAUCUACUUUUUCGUGGGGGAUAACGUAGGGAAACUUACGCUAAUACCGCAUACGACCUACGGGUGAAAGCAGGGGAUCUUCGGACCUUGCGCGAUUGCAUGAGCCGAUGUCGGAUUAGCUAGUUGGCGGGGUAAAGGCCCACCAAGGCGACGAUCCGUAGCUGGUCUGAGAGGAUGAUCAGCCACACUGGAACUGAGACACGGUCCAGACUCCUACGGGAGGCAGCAGUGGGGAAUAUUGGACAAUGGGCGCAAGCCUGAUCCAGCCAUACCGCGUGGGUGAAGAAGGCCUUCGGGUUGUAAAGCCCUCUUGUUGGGAAAGAAAAGCAGCAGGUUAAUACCCCGCUGUUCUGACGGUACCCAAAGAAUAAGCACCGGCUAACUUCGUG
rnacentral:rRNA from 1 species